rnacentral:rRNA from 1 species
GACAGAGGUGCCGAGCGUUAGGCGGAAUCACUGGGCUUAAAGCGUGUGUAGGCGGGUCGUAAGUGUCUUGUGAAAUCCCCCGGCUCAACCGGGGAAUGGCUGGGCAUACUGGCGAUCCUUGAGCAGUCUAGGGGCAGAUGGAACAAGUGGUGGAGCGGUGAAAUGCGUAGAUAUCACUUGGAACGCCAACGGUGAAGACAGUCUGCUGGGGAC